rnacentral:rRNA from 1 species
UACGUAGGGCGCAAGCGUUGUCCGGAAUUAUUGGGCGUAAAGAGCUCGUAGGCGGCUUGUCACGUCGAUUGUGAAAGCCCGAGGCUUAACCUCGGGUCUGCAGUCGAUACGGGCUAGCUAGAGUGUGGUAGGGGAGAUCGGAAUUCCUGGUGUAGCGGUGAAAUGCGCAGAUAUCAGGAGGAACACCGGUGGCGAAGGCGGGUCUCUGGGCAACAACUGACGCUGAGGAGCGAAAGCGUGGGGAGCGAACAGG